AGAUAAUAUUUAACUAGUGCUGAGUUUCAGUUAAACUAAUAGCUGUAGCAGAACUCUCUUUGACCUGUUCCACUAUGUCUAGAUAUUAUUUUAUUUACAGCAUGUGGCUCUCUUUGGGAAGAGGGCAGAUGCUCUAUAUCAUGUAAACAGCAAACUAUGAAAGCUUGUAACAAAUGCUGACAAAUAUUUUAAGGUUGUCAUCACAUUUAGCAAUUCUGCAAAUUUAAAGAGAUGCAUGCAAAUAUUUUUAGAUCCAAAUGUGACCUACAUUAAAAUUAGUACUACCAGUGUACAAUAGCUCAAGAAUUGUUAGUUUAAAAAUUCAUUGCACUACCCUGAGCAAGAAAAUAAAAAGCUACAUGAUGUAUUUUUAUUUAUAUUUUGCUCUGCAAUAGGAGAGCUAUAUAACUAAAGCCAGCAGAGGGAGCACAAAUUGAUGACAAAUCCUGUUCCCAGACUUUAGAGAGAAUUGAUGAUACUGUUGACAAAUAAGGAGGCAAACAAGACAGGGCAAUGUUGAUGCCUGGAUAAGAAAUAACUAUUAAUCAAAUGGAACAGAGCAAAAUCUGUAUGAAUUUAAAUUUUUAUUUUCAAGAUGCAAGGGGUGCUAAAAACUAAGUAAAAUGUCAAAAG